CUGAAAGACGCUCUGCUCUGUACCAGAAACCCCGGAAUGUGUUCCCUCCAUGAGAAUUACAUCGCCACCUUGUAGCAUGAGUGAGCCACCGAAGCAAGUGUCGGCGAACGUCGAGAGCGUGGAGAAGCUCAUCCAUGAUCUGGACCAUGUCAGCAAAGAGUCGAUGGCAAAGAAACAAAAGAAGAAAGGUCUUCUGCGCAGACUGUUGCGCUGGAUCAAAUUUAAAAGGACGCAUACCAAAACGGAGCGCGGAUGUUCACAUUAGGACGUGUCUGUACGCGCAAACCGGGAUUUUCAUGAUAAUAUUUUGAAACCAAUGGUGAUGGAGAAGGUAACUGACUGAUGCAGCAGCACCGAAGAUUCAGUUUGAGGUUAGGAUUGUUUCUCACACUAAUUUCAUGUGAACUUCAACUUGUGAGUCUUCUUAUGCGAUGCUCAUGGGACUUUCUCUAGAUUUAAACUCCCUAAUUUACAUCAGUGAUCCAAUUGUAUAAGUUCAGAAGAAAGCUCGAUUGUAAUUUUAACAGGAGGAAGAGGGGGUUCCACCGCAAAAUUUAGCAUGUGCAAUAUAUUUGUAAUGUUUACUGACGAAUUAUUUCUAGGUUUUGAAACAAAUUUUUUCUACUCUUAGAGGGCUCUGGUACGGACAUGAAAAGAUGUUAGAAGUUGAUAUAGGUUGUCGUAAGACUGAGUGAUCGGAUGGCUGU